GAUGAACGCUGGCGGCGUGCCUAAUACAUGCAAGUCGAGCGAACAGACGAGGCGCUUGCUCCUCUGACGUUAGCGGCGGAGGGGUGAGUAACACGUGGAUAACCUCCCUAUAAGACUGGGAUAACUUCGGGAAACCGGCGCUAAUACCAGAUAAUAUCUUGAACCGCAUGGUUCAAUAGUGAAAGACGGUUUUGCGGUCACUUAUAGCUGGAUCCGCGCCGCAUUAGCUAGUUGGUAAGGUAACGGCUUACCAAGGCGACGAUGCGUAUCCGACCUGAGAGGGUGAUCGGCCACACUGGAAGUGAGACACGGUCCAGACGCCUACGGGAGGCAGCAGUAGGGAAUCUUCCGCAAUGGGCGGAAGCCUGACGGAGCAACGCCGCGUGAGUGAUGAAGGUCUUCGGAUCGGAAAACUCUGUUAUUAGGGAAGAACAAAUGUGUAAGUAACUAUGCACGUCUUGACGGUACCUAAUCAGAAAGCCACGGCUAACUACGUG
rnacentral:rRNA from 1 species